UUCGCCCUUAGAGUUUGAUCCUGGCUCAGGACGAACGCUGGCGGCGCGCCUAACACAUGCAAGUCGAACGGGACUAUGCUGGAAGAAGUUUUCGGAUGGAUUUUGGUAUAGUUUAGUGGCGGACGGGUGAGUAACACGUGAGCAACCUGCCUUCGAGAGGGGAAUAACGGCUGGAAACGGUCGCUAAUACCGCAUAAUAUACAGGAGGGACAUCCCUUUUGUAUCAAAGAUUUAUCGCUCGAAGAUGGGCUCGCGUCCAAUUAGGUAGAUGGUGAGGUAACGGCCCACCAAGCCGACGAUCGGUAGCCGGACUGAGAGGUUGAACGGCCACAUUGGGACUGAGACACGGCCCAGACUCCUACGGGAGGCAGCAGUGGGGGAUAUUGCACAAUGGGGGAAACCCUGAUGCAGCGACGCCGCGUGUGGGAAGACGGUCCUCUGGAUUGUAAACCACUGUCCCCAGGGACGAAGAUGACGGUACCUGGGGAGGAAGCUCCGGCUAACUACGUGCCAGCAGCCGCGGUAAUACGUAGGGAGCAAGCGUUGUCCGGAAUUACUGGGUGUAAAGGGAGCGUAGGCGGGAUGGCAAGUUGGGUGUUAAAUCUACCGGCUCAACUGGUAGUCGCACUCAAAACUGCUAUUCUUGAGUGAAGUAGAGGCAGGCGGAAUUCCUAGUGUAGCGGUGAAAUGCGUAGAUAUUAGGAGGAACACCAGUGGCGAAGGCGGCCUGCUGGGCUUUUACUGACGCUGAGGCUCGAAAGUGUGGGGAGCAAACAGGAUUAGAUACCCUGGUAGUCCACACCGUAAACGAUGAUUACUAGGUGUGGGGGGUCUGACCCCCUCCGUGCCGGAGCAAACGCAAUAAGUAAUCCACCUGGGGAGUACGGCCGCAAGGUUGAAACUCAAAGGAAUUGACGGGGGCCCGCACAAGCAGUGGAGUAUGUGGUUUAAUUCGAAGCAACGCGAAGAACCUUACCAGGUCUUGACAUCGUGUGCAUAGCCUAGAGAUAGGUGAAGUCCUUCGGGACACACAGACAGGUGGUGCAUGGUUGUCGUCAGCUCGUGUCGUGAGAUGUUGGGUUAAGUCCCGCAACGAGCGCAACCCUUGUAUUUAGUUGCUACGCAAGAGCACUCUAGAUAGACUGCCGUUGACAAAACGGAGGAAGGUGGGGAUGACGUCAAAUCAUCAUGCCCCUUACGACCUGGGCCACACACGUACUACAAUGGCGCACAACAGAGGGAAGCAAGACAGCGAUGUGGAGCAAACCCCUAAAAUGCGUCCCAGUUCAGAUUGCAGGCUGCAACCCGCCUGCAUGAAGUCGGAAUUGCUAGUAAUCGCGGAUCAGCAUGCCGCGGUGAAUA
rnacentral:rRNA from 1 species